UACGGGGGGGGCAAGCGUUGUUCGGAAUUACUGGGCGUAAAGGGCUCGUAGGCGGCCAACUAAGUCAGAUGUGAAAUCCCCAGGCUUAACCUGGGAACUGCAUCUGAUACUGGAUGGCUUGAAUUCGGGAGAGGGAUGCAGAAUUCCAGGUGUAGCGGUGAAAUGCGUAGAUAUCUGGAGGAAUACCGGUGGCGAAGGCGGCAUCCUGGACCGACAUUGACGCUGAGGAGCGAAAGCUAGGGGAGCAAACGGG
rnacentral:rRNA from 1 species